rnacentral:lncRNA from 1 species
GAAGGCGGCCGGCGUCCGCUCCUGGCCCGGCGCUGCGGUGUGGGGUGCUGGGAGCGGAGCUGCUCCGGGAUCUUUCCACGUGCGAGCGAUUCGCUUUCAGGUGAGGCAGGGUGGAACCACACGGGAAUCGUUCUAAUUUCUGCAACGAAAGCCUUGUUUUAAGACGUGUGGAAUUCCUCAAAAGACGGACAGAGGGAUUUUAGGACACAGGUAACUGCAGGGGACGGGAAAUAUAAAGAACAUGGAAAGGCUUCCGGAUCUGCAGGCGGGCGCGAAAGUACCCGGUAAAUGCUGCUGCGUGUUUGGGCUUUUGUUUGUUUGUUUUUCCUCUCCAGUCUUUGCCGUUCAUUAUUGUUAACUGGAGAAACAGUAGGAAAAGCUGUUAGCAGAUGUUGUCUGCUAACAGACAGAAGAGGGAGCUCUUGCCGCGCCUACCCUGGGAAGUGCCCGUCCCUGCGGCUGCUGUACGGAAGCCCUCCUUCGGCAGAGCAGUUCCAGGGAAGGGGCGUGGAACGAAAGCGGUCUCUACUCUUACUUUGCUUGGAGGUGACUGACAGGGCCUUACUUGCCAAAUUCAUGCUGAUGCGGCUCCAUGCUCAGCGGAGGAUGAAGUCAGUGAAAAUGUAAAAAUGUUGCCUGAAGCAAAUAAUGGUGUCUUAUUAAAAACCAAACUCCAGGCAAGCCCUCAGACUCAGAGAACCCACCCUUUUUCCCUCAACAUCCUUGCGUGAGCGUAUGCUAUUGAGUUGGUGGGACAGCUGAUUGAGAGGGAUGAAGUAAAAAUAGGUGUUCAAACACUUGUAAAUUGGAAUCCAGCAAACUGUUACAGAGCUGUUGCACAGUUUGACAGGACUGAAAUGGUCCUGAAGUCAUUUGUACCAAUCCAAAAGCCAACUACUGGCUUUUAAAAAAGAGCCAGAACUUUCCUAGUGGACUCAGGGCCUGCCCUACCUACCACAUCAUUCUGCUUUUGGGUAACUUUCUGAAUCACUGCAUGGCCAAACUGCCUGUGACUGCACAGCACAGGAUCAGGCCCCUGUAAGGGUGUGUUUUUUUUCUUUGUGUCACUGUUUUGUGCUUGUGUCUGUUGGUGCAGGAAGCUUCUGCUCGAGUAGUUGAGUGAUUUAAACAAAUCUCACGAUCGUGUUCAGUCCAUCAGUUAACACACGGUCUGAAGUUCUGUUUCUCAGUAAGCCUAAAGGAUCAUCAGCCCAGCAAAGCGGCAUCCUGAGGGUUUCUAAUGACCUACCCCCCAGUAUGAUGGAACUGCUUUUACAUUCUCUGGUUGCUGUCCUUUCUGUAACGUUCACAUAUUGCCAGUGCAGUUGUUUUCCAACCACUGCUUUCAGUAUGGUUGUCCAUUUAAAAUAAACAGUUACUACUGAAAUGUGGUGUGCAAUGUGGGGAGAGGGAAAAGAAAUAGCAACAACAAAAGGACAGAUGCUUGAAUUUCCCUGCAGUAAACAUGGUUUUAUUAGAUAAUUUUGCUGUGGACUUACAUGACUGCAAAACUCUUUUGUACAGACUUCUGUAAAAUUGUAGUAUUUGUAGAGAGCUGAACGUUUUCAAACUACAUUAUUUCAUGAUUUAUACUAAUAGUUGCUAAGGCACAUGGCUGCUAUAGUAAAAAUGGACUAGUGUUCAUUUCUGCAUGGAUGGUAACAAGUGUUUAGUUUGCUGAGCUUCAGAUAUUAUACCGUGAAAUGAGACUCCUUGACACAUGGUGGCUAAUCCAGUCGUAAUAGCUGGCUACUUGUGUGUAGACGCCGGGGUGACCGGCCUCCCCACAGUUUUCACCCCAACUCACAACACCCCAGACAUAAGCCACAUUUUCUGCAUCAAAGCAAACCAGGGGACCUCCUGAAUCACCUUUGCAGCUGUCAAUGGAGCCAUCGUAAGUACCUGCGGCAAAAGAGGGUGGGGGAACAACAACAACUCAAAAGUAAGUUUAUAUGCAAGCUAGCACACAAAGUAGAGCUCAGGAGGCUUUUUAGAUCCAUGUCACUUCCUGACAGGUGUCUGCCUAGCAGUCACUACUACUGGAAGUUCCCAGUCUCUUUGGUCUACUAUUUCUUAAUUAUUUUGAAGUGCAGCCCCCCCUCUUUACAAUUUUGGCUGGCCCAAAAGCUCAUUUGCUUUCACGUCAGGAAUGUGAUUCUUCUUGUGACAGAGAAGAAUUCAGACAUAUUGUAUAUUAUAUCAUUAGAAGUAGCUUAUAAAAAGGGGACAGAAGGUAGAAGAAAAGGGUAAGAAGAUUAGUGGACCGAUCCCUCUGGAAAUUAAGCUAUUAUAAUAUGCAUGUUCCUCUACAUCUGCUAUUGAUGUUCUCUCUACCUAGUAGUACAUUGGCCAAUUUGAUCUGAGCUACGCAGAAGUAGAAACCUCAAAAUUAAUUUCUCUGCAGGCUUUAUGGCAAAAGGUGGGCAGAUCCAAGGAUAGUACAUGAAUGAUGGGAUACAAGAGAGUGUAACUGUCUUUAACUGAGCCCUUGCAGAUAUGGCACUUGAAGUGUGGACCUUCUGGAGCACCAGGUGACAGCUCUGAGACAUAAACAUAUGGGCUGUGGUGCUCUCUACAAGUUUCUGGGGUUUUGAAGCUACUUGUUUCCAACUUAGCAAAUGUAGUGGUUGUAAUAAAUAAAUAAAGAUGAAAGAAUAUGAUAUAGGCAAAAACUUGCUAGAGAGUUGGAAUACAAUUUAUCCUUUGUCCCACAGACUCAGUAGAAGUGUGUAAAGACAUCUUUAUGUCCUUCUUUAUACUCGGUUGAUCCACCUAGUUUGAAGGAACCCAUACUAAGCAAGGCUCCCCACGUUUUUAAACAUGUAACCUCUUUCUUGAGUCUCUACAUCACUGAGAAAGAGUUCUGUGAAUGUUUCAGGAUUGGAAAGACCAAUUCUAUAAAACUAGAUUUUGUUCCCCAUACUCAGUUGAAUUAACGUUACCUUCUAUCAGUAGUUCCAGCAGAUACCAGUCCUUAAUUCCAAAAUUUGUAUCUGCAUUCACGUUGUACUGAAUUUAUUCACAAAUGGUUAAGUUUUUAUAUCCAGUUUUAAUUUGUCUUGUUAUGUACUUUGUUUAAAUACUGCCUUCACUUCAGAGUUAAAGAACAGUUGAAACUAUCUGUCCUGUAAGUUGAAAACUCAUUGCUCUUUAAGACAUGUGUUUGGCAAUACCUUUUGUUACUUGAAAAGCAAAAAUGUGUACUCAAAAUGCUUAUUUUAGUAUUAGGAAUGACAACCAGUUUCCUGGCCAGACUAAUCUUUGUUUGAAAAGUUUAUAGUAUUUUUCCUGGGGUGUGGUUUAGUGGUAGAAAAUAUCUCAGCAGAUGAAUAGUCACAUGCUAGUCAAUAGGACUGUGAAUGUGCUCCAAAAAAGGCAUUUGCUUUAAUAUGUUCCUGAAGCAGAAUGAAAUAGAGGUAGGAGGAAGUUCAGUGGGCUGUAAUCUGCUUGUGUGUUUAGAAAACAUGACUCCAACUGUGUGCUGAAAUUUGCUUACAGUCACUGAAACUUGGCAUUCUGUCACCAUAACUGUUUAUAAUUAGAUAGAUAACAACAGAUGACUGUAGACUCCAGUGGCUAGUGCUUUGCUAAUGACAAUGCCGUUGCAUUUGGUUUCUUGCAUUUUCCAAGUCUAAAAGAUUCCCAGCCUGUAUGUCAGUCCUUAGCAACGGUGGGCAUGAUGGUAAAGUUAUAGUAAGAAAAUUCAUACUUGCCUGCACAUGCCAUUUUUUGAAAGAAUCGUCCUGGAUACAUUUCAGAACAAUUCUGAAAUAAAUUAACAUUUCCCCAUUUGAGCACAUAUUGUUUGGUAUAACCUAGAAAAGAAAAUGAUAAACUUUUCUAAAUUUAAACUGAUAAAUGUGUAUGAAACACUUUUAAUAUCAUAAUAUGAAAGUUAUAGAUUUGCUAAUCUACUGAAUUUAAUCUUAGAUAUUAUAAACCAGGUACCUUAAACUGCUGCUAACACUUGCCCCACAUCCACUGCCCAUAUGUUUCAAAAUCAAAGCAGAGUGGUUAAAUUGCAGUAUUAAAUGCAGUAGUUUCAUUUUUUUGUAAUUUUUACUCCUUCCCUUUGUUACUUUCUUCAAUUUUUUCCAUGUUUUCCAUAUCAGGGUUUCCAGACACUGGGAGACCAGUAUAUUGUUUUCUGUGAAAUGGAGAAACGCCUCUGAUCAUCCUUGUUACUUCUUUCUCAGAAAGAUGAGAGGACUGGAACUUGCAGAUACAGGCACUCAUUGCUGCCAUAGCUUACAAAUGACUGGCAUCCAGCAGAUAUUGAUUUACAACUACAUGAUAUCUAGUCUUCUUUUCUUGUCCAGAGGACCAUUCUGCAAAGAAACCCUGUGAAAUGGCCUCCUUUGUUUUUUGUUUUUUUUUUUAAGUCUCUAAAGCGAUAGACUGCUCUCCUCUACCAGGAAACACCAGAAAUUCCCCCUCCUGCCCCGUCAAUCUUUUGGAGCUUUCUAAAGCCCAAAGGAGCAUUAGGUAAGAAGAUCAUUCCCCUGGUGUGAUUUUCACUCUUCCUGGUCACCCACAAGCUAUACUCUUCAAAAAUCAGCUGAAGUGCACAACAGAUGAUAAACAUUUCAAGCCAGUGGUUUAUAGCACACCACAACAAUGGAACUGUGAGCAAAUUAAAAUAUAAGGGGACUUCACAGAAUCACACAGAAUGGCCUGGGUUGGAAGGGACUUCAAGGAUCAUGAAUCUCCAACCCACCCCCCUGCCCCCCCGGCACUGGCAGGGCCACCAACCUCUACAUUUAAUACUAGAGCAGGCUGCCAAGAGCCCCGUCCAGCCUAGCCUUGAACACCUCCACGGAUGGGGGAUCCACAACCUCUCUGGGCAGCCUGUUCCAGCACCUUACCACUCUCACAGUAAAGAACUUGCCCCUGACAUCCAACCUAAAUCUUCCCUCCUUCAACUUAAAACCAUUUCCCCUUGUCCUGCUAUUAUCUCCCCUUUCAAAGAAUUGACUCCCCUAACUUGGCUUAAACACCAGAAAAAUGAAAUUAAAAAAAAAAGAGUAGCAACUUGAUUUUUUUUCAAGACCUUUUUAUUGUCCCAGUUGACCCAGUUGACAUAACUAUAGCCAAUAACUACUUAGAAACAAAUAAAUCUAAAAUUGAAGAUGUGUUUCAUUGCAAGUAACAAGUAUUAAGUAUCUUCAACAAAUGUGAAAAUUAAGUGCCCUUCCCAGUCUGUUUUGUUCCCAUAUCUUGGAUGGCAGUGGGUUUGCAGUGUGGUUUCUGGUUGUUGUGGACUGCAAGGAGUGCUCCUUAUCCCUCCAUCUGACCAUCUGUCUCUAGGUGAGUGAUAACACCUAUCCUGGCAGCUCUCUGGUUAUUCCAUUGCUGGCUGAGUGCUUUUGCUCACUAAGAUGUGUGUGCAGGGGGAAUGUUGAAAUGUGAAAAAUAUGUAGCUAGACUUUGCAUAAAGAUGAGAAAGAAAUGUCAGUUGUCAGAUCGGAUUUAUCGGCUUUGAGUGCAUCCACUGAAUCAACAGAGCCAAAGUUUAAAGUUCUCGUGAAGAAAUCCUGGCCUAAGUAAAGGCAGUGGGAAUGUCGCCAGGGCUGAAUUUAUUCCGAGCCCCUCCCACCCUUUUAAGGGCUGUAUAAUCUUAAUAAAUUCUUCCUGUUCUUCUCAGGUCAGUAGAAUCCUAUGCAUUAUCUUUAGAUUUACAUACCAAACUCUGAGCCAGGCCCGGCUUGGCAUAACUCCUGUAUUGCACUAGAUGUUUCUCUUUAGCUCUGACAGAAUAGCAACAAAAGGGGCUGAUCUUUACCUACGGGUUUUUCUUGGAAAGCUCAGGCUAUGCUGAACAUGGAGCCCAUCAGGACUCCUUGAGAGGCUUUUGCCAGAAGAGAUUUUACAACAAAAGCUUUCUGAGCUGAGCCACACUUGCAGGUUGGGUUUAGCAUAGCAUCCCGAUUAAAAGAUUUUCCAAAAGGCUGUUAAUGUAAACCUCAGAUAGAACCGAUAUACAGAGGAGAAACAGCAAGAUUCACAUUUUCAAGCUGGACUAAAACAAAUGUACGAAAUGCAGAUGCUGCAAAAGGAAAUUAAAAAAGACUUUGUUUUUAUAAUAAUAAAUUGUUUUAACUGUUUGCUGUUGGUUGGUUUGUUUUUAAAAUAAGGGGAUACCACAAUAAAAUAAGUUCUUACCUGUGCUCGACAGAAAGAAAAGAGAGAGAAGCAAACCAAGAGAACUGCAACCACUCUCAUGAUGAGGUUUUAUGUCUUUGUAGAGAAAUUCCCCUGGCCGGGACUUUCCCAAUUGCCAGUCGUUAGGUUUGUGUUUAAUUUUUAACCUUUGGUAAAACACUCUGAAGUGGACUCAGAAACAACUACGGGAGCCUUAGAUAUCAACGGAUGAGUCUGCUCUCUCCACACGGAUCCCACCCCAUUUAACCUGUUUUACUGUAAAUAGAGACCAAAGGGAAGCCCUUGAAGCCAACGGUUACAAGGGAGUGCUCAGCAGGGUCUCUCGCUCCCCGCCUGCUGCCAACGCAGACCGAUGGAGCCGCGGGCCGAUCUCCUGGCAGCAGGCACCCCGCUCUGCAGGGAGCUGUUAGGGCAGGUGCGUUCUUAGGUGAGAUACGUGUGUCUGUAUGCAGGCAGGCAAACGGAACGGAUCAACUCCACUAUCUCCGUGCGAGAGCGUAACCGGCGGAGCCUUGCUCAGAGAACUGUUGGGGCAGUGGCCAAUCCACUGCAUCCCACCUGCGGGCGGUUUCCGGGAGAACCGCGGUCUCGGCCGGCACAACGGAACGGCUCCUGCGA